AGCAAGCCACCCUCUCAUCUCUCUCCCACGAUAUGUGCGUUCAGGCGCCGGCACGGUUCGCCACCGCCAGGUCCCUUUGCUCAUCUGGUUGGCCCCGACGACGGCCAUGAGGCGCAGGUGACCUCCUCCCCGACAUCUCGUUCUCUGUACCGAGGGCGAACUGGUGGUGUACCGCCGCCGUCGCGGCGGUGAAGACGGCGAUAUCCACAAGUGCCCGCGGCUGCUGUCCCCAUCGCGACCGGGAUUCCCUAUGCCACCCCGCGCCCGCUGAUCUCCCUUUUCCGUGUGGCAAAGUGUUUGUUCCUAUGGAGACUGAUGUAGCGAUGCCUAUGUGGGUGUUAGGCAUAGGUCUUGAUCGGUUCUGCUGAGGAAAAAUUGUCCCGAGGAGAUCGGGAUAGGAUUUGGGGAUGAGGACUGUUGGGGAAACAUCAGUUGCCAAAUCUUAUUCGUGUUAGACUUGCAACCGGAGAAGAAACAAAGGCCAUGACCACAUGCAAAUGUUCUGAAUGGCACUGGAGUUGUAGAAAGGAAAACCGCUUUUCUGCAAGGCUUGAUCAAUAUUUUUUAUCCUGGACGUGGGACUUUAUGUUUUAAACAGUAAGUUACGUUUGUACUAAUCCAUGUUGUCAUUGAUUUCGACUUGCAGAUUAGUAGGUGGUCUAGGGAGUGCAUUGGGAGAAAGGUGCCAGAGUUGUGUAGUGGAGUCCGAUAAUCUCUUGAAGUCAACGAAAUUGGCCGUGACCACCACGAUUAUCCAUCACGUCCAGCAGUGACGCAGCAAGAAUCAGCGUCCCCAUGUGUGCUACCGUCCAAGACGGUCGCUGCCCUUUCGCACUACCUGCACACCGGUCAUGCAUUCCCUACAGGAACAAAUAUCUUUUUGAUCUGCUAUGCACAAACCAUAUUUGAAGCUGGCAUGCACAACGAGGAUGAUUACGUGCCUCUUUAAGUCAUCCACGGCCAUAUUCAUUUUUGUCUUGGCUCUAACUUAGGUUUUGCUCACCUUGGAAAAGUAAAGGCAAUGAAGAAAUUUGUAAGGUGGGAAGACUCACAAUUUCACAGAGGAAGGACCGCAUACAGUGGACAAUUGACUGGAGGUUUAAUUCAUCAGAUAUUGUCCUAACUGAAUGUGAGUGAAUUUAGGUUAAUUUAUCAUUACAAAAUGCUUUGUUCUGUUUUUCCAGCUUGCAUGCUUUGUGAACUUACGAUUUUCCAAGAUGGCAAACAAUAUAUCUGCCUCUGACUUUUCUUGUGUAUGUGGAUGU